AUCUUGUUAGUGUUUUUCUAAUAUACAGUAAUAUAAUUUUAAAAUACAGUAAUAUAAUUUAUGUUUUUUAUUAUUUUUUUUAUUGCUUUUUUUUUAGUUACAUAGGUUGUUGUACGUAAAGCAGAACUGGUUUGAUAACUGUUAUUUUUAUUGACUGUUGACAAUUUCAAGAUAUUUUUUUUUUUUUGAUUAUAUAACUUUUUUGUUAUCUUUAGGCCAAUUUGCACAGACUACAGCUGUAUCUACCUCUUGUGCUACACCUGGGUGUUAUAACAUCAUAACCACAUCUACGGCCAACUCUAAGAUCACCUUAUUUUGUUUGGCAGUGUUCUGGAAUCAAGUUAUGGCAAUAUUUUAUGUAUAAAAUCUAACAAUUACAUAAAAAAAGUGCUUAUUUUUGACAAAAACUUGUAUUUUCUUAAGGGUUAGAUGGUGUUUCAUUACCCCCUCUGGCUCCCAAGAUACACCCUACGUCCAGGCACCUAUAUGAACUUGUAGCCCAUUAGUGCACCUAUCUUUUGAUACCAAGAUAUAGAUAUUUGGAUGAAAAUUGACAAAGUUAUA
rnacentral:lncRNA from 1 species